GACGAACGCUGGCGGCGCGCCUAACACAUGCAAGUCGAACGAGCAAAGAGGAGCUUGCUUCUCUGAGCGAGUGGCGAACGGGUGAGUAACGCGUGAGGAACCUGCCUCAAAGAGGGGGACAACAGUUGGAACGACUGCUAAUACCGCAUAAGCCCACAGGUCGGCAUCGACCAGAGGGAAAGGAGCAAUCCGCUUUGAGAUGGCCUCGCGUCCGAUUAGCUGGUUGGUGAGGUAACGGCCCACCAAGGCGACGAUCGGUAGCCGGACUGAGAGGUUGAACGGCCACAUUGGGACUGAGACACGGCCCAGACUCCUACGGGAGGCAGCAGUGGGGAAUAUUGCACAAUGGGGGGAAACCCUGAUGCAGCAACGCCGCGUGAGUGAAGAAGUAUUUCGGUAUGUAAAGCUCUAUCAGCAGGAAAGAAAAUGACGGGUACCUGACUAAGAAGCCCCCGGCUAACUACGUG
rnacentral:rRNA from 1 species